AGUAACACGUGAGUGACCUGCCUUUUAGACUGGAACAACUUACCGAAAGGUGAGCUAAUGCCGGAUGAGUUAUAUAAGUGCAUGUUUAUAUAGGAAAAGUUGGGGAGACCUGACGCUGAAAGAUGGACUCGCGUCCCAUUAGCUAGUUGGUAGGGUAAUGGCCUACCAAGGCGACGAUGGGUAGCCGGCCUGAGAGGGUGGCCGGCCACAUUGGGACUGAGACACGGACCAGACUCCUACGGGAGGCAGCAG
rnacentral:rRNA from 1 species